UGUUAGGCUUUGUGCAGUGUAACUAGUUAGCGUGCGACAUCUCAAACUGCCCUGAUUUCAUCACCAAACUGCUAAAUGUUCUGUUUGCAGAAAUAGCCAUUAAAAUGUAUCUUAAAAUUAGAUGCUCUGUCAGAAUUAAAGGGGAGACAGGGGAACUGGAAGGGAUUAAAAUAACAGGAAAUGGAGUUUAGACCUUGGUUGUCUUGGAGGCUAUCUGUGGAAAACUUUUCAUUUUUUGGUGGUAGCAAAAGUAAUAAUAAUAAUUCUGUUUAUUGAACACUUCUUAUGUGUCUGGAUGAUUGAAAAAUCUUCAAGUUAUGUCAAUUAAUUACCAAUUAUUAAUCAUUACAGCCACUCUAUAAGGUAAGUACUAUAAUUAUACAUAUUAGGAGACUGCAGCAGUGAGAUUUAGUAAUUUUCCUGAGGGCAUGCAGGAAAGUGGUAGAGCUGAGACAAGACCAGGUACUAUAGCUACAGGGUUUACAUCUUAUUUUGAGGUUAGUAGGAGGAACAUGUGCUGGGAUUGUAUUAGGAAGCUCCUUGUUUAUCCACACUUGUGUUGCU
rnacentral:lncRNA from 1 species